rnacentral:ncRNA from 1 species
UAGCGAGUCUUUCACUCUGUAUUUUUACAGUCUCUGUACAUUUCUUUCAUUAAUAGAAAUCGUGUAUUACUGUAUGUCUAUGUUUAUGGUUGCAUCUCUGAUAUAUUUAUGUUAUAUUACUGGAUAUACGCGAUAUCUCUGUGCGUUUCUUUAUUAUAUCUCCGCUCUCAUUUCGUGCCGAAAAUAAUCCGGAUCAAUAAUCACCUAACCUAGACCUUGAAUAUACACCUCGUAACCUUCUAAAUCAUUGACCCAUAACCCAUAACCCUUCUAAAUAUGCAAUGUGAUUUAUUCCCAUUUCUUUGCAUGUCAAAGUGAAGAAAUUCAACCAAGCGUGGGUAAACGACGGGAGUAACUAUGACUAUCUUAAGGUAGCGAUAUGCCUCGUCAUAUAAUUAGUGAUGUGAAUUAAUGGAUCAUUAAUGAGAUUCCCCACUGUCCCUAGCUACUAUAUUCUAGAUAAAUCACAUCCAAGGGAAUGGGCUUGGAAGAAUUAGUGGGGAAGGAAGACCCUCAUGUUGAGCUUGACUCUAGUCCUAACCCAUUCAUAGUUUGGGA